UGAUCUACUGCAUAAUUUCUCACCUCAGCCUCUUCCAUCCAUGCUUUAUAUUUAUCCGUAUGGCUUUCGGAAGCGGUAGAUAUCAUCAGCUCCAAAAAGCAAUUUUGUUUACGGAAAGAAUGAAAGUUGCUUUCGAAGGUACAAGUUUCGAACAUUAAUUUUUUAUUAUUUAUACUGAUUCCUGUGUUUCUCACUUGCCAACCGAUUGGUGAUGACUUAACAAGAUAAGAACGUGGAGAUGUAUCUCAUGUUUUUGGAAUUUGUUUCUUUUUCUCCAAGGUGACGGGAGCGGGACCAUCUAUUAAUAGUUAGCAGAGCACUAAUGAUUCUUGGCGUCCGCAUUUUUUUUACCUCAGGUAAUCUACAGCCUUUUUUAUCUUACGUACGUCUUAUUUGCUAUAUGAUCUAAAGAAUGGAGUUCGUGUAGACUAUUCUACUUGGUUAGGUAAUGAGAUAAGCUUACAGUACAACUUAUAAGUUUGAUUCUCAUUGAUUCAGGUUGUGUAAAUUAGAGUGGAAAGAAAACACUAGGUUCUAAAAUGAAAGAAUGUAACUAGUUAACUUUUCCAGUGACAGACUAGAAGAGCCACCUUGUUUUAUGCAAAACUCAGCCUUUUCCUUCAGAUACUUGACCUUCUUCGUCAGUUCUUCACCUUCUGGUUCUACCAUUAAUCUUCUGAUAACAUUUUCAAUCUCCUUUCUCUCCACCUUUUUCUCCAAAUGCAACCCAAUUCUCCAAACGUCACUCACAUACCUGGCAUUUACCAUCUGAUCCCCUGCUAUGGGAUGACUAAUCAUAGGAACACCUUCACAUAUACUCUCCAGUGUGGAAUUCCAACCAUUGUGUGUCCAGAACCCACCUGUGGCCGGAUGUGCCAGCACCUCUUGUUGCGGAGCCCAUUUCACAAUCCGCCCUCUUCCCUUCACAAUCUCCAUAAACCCAUCAGGAAACCCCUUGAGCCAAUCCGACCCUGAAACCAAUCCUGGUCGAACCACCCACAAGAAGGGCUGGUUGCUACUAACUAUCCCCGAAGCUAUCUCCUGGAACUCACUCUGGCUGAUCAUCAGGCUAUCUCCGGUCUUGC
rnacentral:lncRNA from 1 species